rnacentral:rRNA from 1 species
GGCGGCGUGCCUAAUACAUGCAAGUCGAGCGGAUCUUUGGGAGCUUGCUCCCAUUGGUUAGCGGCGGACGGGUGAGUAACACGUGGGCAACCUGCCUGUAAGACUGGGAUAACACCGGGAAACCGGUGCUAAUACCGGAUAAUCCUUUUCCUCUCAUGAGGAGAAGCUGAAAGACGGUUUCGGCUGUCACUUACAGAUGGGCCCGCGGCGCAUUAGCUAGUUGGUGAGGUAACGGCUCACCAAGGCGACGAUGCGUAGCCGACCUGAGAGGGUGAUCGGCCACACUGGGACUGAGACACGGCCCAGACUCCUACGGGAGGCAGCAGUAGGGAAUCUUCCACAAUGGACGAAAGUCUGAUGGAGCAACGCCGCGUGAGCGAUGAAGGCCUUCGGGUCGUAAAGCUCUGUUGUUAGGGAAGAACAAGUACCGGAGUAACUGCCGGUACCUUGACGGUACCUAACCAGAAAGCCACGGCUAACUACGUGCCAGCAGCCGCGGUAAUACGUAGGUGGCAAGCGUUGUCCGGAAUUAUUGGGCGUAAAGCGCGCGCAGGCGGUCCUUUAAGUCUGAUGUGAAAGCCCACGGCUCAACCGUGGAGGGUCAUUGGAAACUGGGGGACUUGAGUGCAGAAGAGGAAAGCGGAAUUCCACGUGUAGCGGUGAAAUGCGUAGAGAUGUGGAGGAACACCAGUGGCGAAGGCGGCUUUCUGGUCUGUAACUGACGCUGAGGCGCGAAAGCGUGGGGAGCAAACAGGAUUAGAUACCCUGGUAGUCCACGCCGUAAACGAUGAGUGCUAAGUGUUAGGGGGUUUCCGCCCCUUAGUGCUGCAGCUAACGCAUUAAGCACUCCGCCUGGGGAGUACGGCCGCAAGGCUGAAACUCAAAGGAAUUGACGGGGGCCCGCACAAGCGGUGGAGCAUGU